CACUAGUAGACAAGAGGUCUUCUCUCACGAUUAGCGAGUAUCCUCUUGGAACUUGUGGCAAAAUUGAUCCUGAGAACCCCACCUGUGCAAAAAUUACCCUCACAGGAAAGGUAUGAUGGAAAAGAAAGUAUUUAUGGCAUAAUAUGUUGGUUUUUAAUAUUGUUAUUAGUCUGUAUUUGUAGUUUGAGUACAUUCGUGUACUUUCUUGGCACAAAAUGAAUUUUACUUUUGCUUCUUAUAUGUCAUGCAACAUGUAGUUAUAUCAAUAACGCUAGUUUCAGUGGGACAAAAGGCCAAAUGAUCCACAGAUUUUGUUUUUACAUUAAAAAGAAGAUUUAUUAGAAAAGAAGAUACUGGAUGCUAGAUCCAUAAAUAAUGUUUUUAUAUUGGGAUUCAAUUUUAUACUCGCUGUUUAAUCAUGUAUGAUAUAACUAUUGUUGGUAAUUCAGCAUAAAGGAAUAACCUCUACUAGACAGAUGCAUUUUCAUGAUUUUUAACCUCGUUCUUUAAUUGUUACCUCUUGAUCUUGGGGUGACCUGCACAUGAAAUUAAUCAUUGAUGAUAAUCAUAUUUGGAGGUUUUUUUUAAGGUUGAUAAAAUGGGGCUUAAUGUUUGAUGUAAACCAAACCAUUUGUCAUAAAGGUAGUAUUUUGUGUUUGCUCACAGGAAUAUUAUAAUUUUUUCCCUUUGAUAUUCGUAGAAACAUUAACUUGCAUAAAAAAACUAAUUGAUCCCUAAUAUUUAAGAUAGGUUAGGUCCUGAACAAAAUGAAAAUAUAACUGGAAUGAUGAUUGACACGGGAAGAAAAACCAUCAGAAAGUUCAGAGAACAAGGAUUUUGUGCUGCUUAGGCACAUAGGCAAGUGGAUGGGAAAGUUAGGAUUGCUAGUACUAGCCCAGAUAUCCCUUUGCAAUAGAGUGGGCUAUAGAUAGCAUUCUCUUUGGUGCUUUAUGGGAGAUCUUGAACCUGAACGUAAUCUAAAUAAGGAGGAAAACUUUAUUGUUCAGUUGUUUUGUUUACUAAUGAUUUGGACUAAUGCUGGAUAUGUUUUGGACUUUUUGGUGUAUUAGUUGUUGGUAGUCGAUGGAAAGUCAGAGGAAGCAGAAGUUGCUAGACAUGCCUUGUUCUCAAAGCAUCCAGAGAUGGAGGGUAAUGCAUAUAAAUUUACACCACCAGUGACUGGAAUAGAUGUCCCUUCUGUUUUCAUUUCUUUCUUGUGAUAACCAUCUUUUUAUUUGUUUCAUCUUAUUUCUUAACAGGCUGGCCUAAAGGUCACAAUUUUCAGAUUUUCAAGUUAGAGAUUGAAAAUAUAUUUUUGAUUGAUUGGUUUGGUGGGGCUAAACCUCUGACUGUGUAUGACUAUCUGCAUAAAAAAAUGUAAGUAGUUUCAACUGCAUGGAGAGGAUACUGCCGAAGCAUAUAUAGUCCAUGUAGUACACUUAAUAUCAGAAUAAUCCCAUGUGGGUUGUGAUUCAUUUGUUUUACCAUGUACAGGA
rnacentral:lncRNA from 1 species